rnacentral:rRNA from 1 species
ACUGGUGACAUAGCGGCAGGGAUCACCUCUUCCCAUUCCGAACAGAGAAGUUAAGCCUGCUAGCGCCGAUGGUACUGCAUCUAAAGUGUGGAAGAGUAGGUAGUCGCCGCCC